AACCCGAAUGUCGUGAUGGUAUUGAGCGGGCAUUAUCAUAGUGCGAUGAGAAAAACAGAUGAGCUGGAUGAUGAUGGUGAUGGGAAGCCGGAUCGUCUUGUGCAUCAAAUGCUGGC
rnacentral:rRNA from 1 species